rnacentral:rRNA from 1 species
UUGCAUGGCGGCCGCUACCAUGCAGUCGAGCGGGGGAGGUAGCUUGCUACCGGACCUAGCGGCGGACGGGUGAGUAAUGCUUAGGAAUCUGCCUAUUAGUGGGGGACAACAUCUCGAAAGGGAUGCUAAUACCGCAUACGUCCUACGGGAGAAAGCAGGGGAUCUUCGGACCUUGCGCUAAUAGAUGAGCCUAAGUCGGAUUAGCUAGUUGGUGGGGUAAAGGCCUACCAAGGCGACGAUCUGUAGCGGGUCUGAGAGGAUGAUCCGCCACACUGGGACUGAGACACGGCCCAGACUCCCAUAUCUUCAAAGGCCGAAUCUCGUAGAAAGAGGCCUUUCACCAGGGCAUCAGUCCAUGAACGGUCAGAGGAGAGUGGUACCGCACACUGACUAGGACCAGGACAGGAUCCUACGGGAGGCAGACAGUGGGGAUAUUGGACAAUGGGGGAGCCUUGAUCCAGCAUUGCGCGUGUUGAAGAAAGCCUAUGGUGGUAUAGGCACUUAAAGCGAGGGAGGAGAGGCUACUUAGGUAAUACCCUAGAGGAUAAGUGGGACGGUAACUCGCAGAAAUAAGCACCGGCUAACUCUGUGCCAGCAGGCGCGGUAAAUACAGAAGGGUGCGAGCGUUAAUCGGAAUUUACUGGGCGUAAAGCGUGCGUAGGCGGGCUUAUAAGUCGGAUGUGAAUCCCCGAGCUUAACUUGGGAAUUGCAUUCGAUACUGGUGAGCUAGAGUAUGGGAGAGGAUGGUAGAAUUCCAGGUGUAGCGGUGAAAUGCGUAGAGAUCUGGAGGAAUACCGAUGGCGAAGGCAGCCAUCUGGCCUAAUACUGACGCUGAGGUACGAAAGCAUGGGGAGCAAACAGGAUUAGAUACCCUGGUAGUCCAUGCCGUAAACGAUGUCUACUAGCCGUUGGGGCCUUUGAGGCUUUAGUGGCGCAGCUAACGCGAUAAGUAGACCGCCUGGGGAGUACGGUCGCAAGACUAAAACUCAAAUGAAUUGACGGGGGCCCGCACAAGCGGUGGAGCAUGUGGUUUAAUUCGAUGCAACGCGAAGAACCUUACCUGGCCUUGACAUACUAGAAACUUUCCAGAGAUGGAUUGGUGCCUUCGGGAAUCUAGAUACAGGUGCUGCAUGGCUGUCGUCAGCUCGUGUCGUGAGAUGUUGGGUUAAGUCCCGCAACGAGCGCAACCCUUUUCCUUACUUGCCAGCAUUUCGGAUGGGAACUUUAAGGAUACUGCCAGUGACAAACUGGAGGAAGGCGGGGACGACGUCAAGUCAUCAUGGCCCUUACGGCCAGGGCUACACACGUGCUACAAUGGUCGGUACAAAGGGUUGCUACACAGCGAUGUGAUGCUAAUCUCAAAAAGCCGAUCGUAGUCCGGAUUGGAGUCUGCAACUCGACUCCAUGAAGUCGGAAUCGCUAGUAAUCGCGGAUCAGAAUGCCGCGGUGAAUACGUUCCCGGGCCUUGUACACACCGCCCGUCACACCAUGGGAGUUUGUUGCACCAGAAGUAGCUAGCCUAACUGCAAAGAGGGCGGUUACCACGGUGUGGCCGAUGACUGGGGGAAGUCGAACAAGAGCCUGUCUA